rnacentral:misc_RNA from 1 species
UAAAAAAAUAGCAAUGGCGAUUGGCGAUUCAAGAUUGCCAUUCCAUUUAAGUGCUUUGAGUUUUGAUUUAAUUAUGGGAGAAAAUAUAGUGGUUGUCUAAAUGUUUACUCUUUUGAGGGACUUUAGGUACAAGUACUAAUUAACAUAAUUACCACCUUCUACCUAUGUGAAUCCAAAUAGUCUGACUAGUCUUAGAAACGGGACAAUUUUACGGGCGUAGGUUUCACACAGCUGGAAAUAUUUUUUGUUUCUUUUUUCAGGAAAUAUUUCAGUUCUAAAUCCAUUGGUGAUUUCAAAAAUUCUGUAAGAAAAUACAUAUAAUACAUGUUAAAGAAAAUGGAGUGUUGAAGUUUGUUAUUUUUUUGUUUGGAUCAAGACAUUCAUAGUGAAAGGGAUCAGUAAUAGAGUUGAAUAGCCAACUUUUUUCCUAUUGAUAGAGGACACAAUCUACCUUUAACAUGGCAUUUAAUGAGAAAGUCGAUCCCGAACUAAUAUUUACAAAACAAGAACGAAUUGGAAAAGGUUCGUUUGGUGAGGUAUUUAAGGGAAUUGAUAAUAGGACGACCCAAGUAGUGGCCAUCAAAAUUAUUGAUUUAGAAGAAGCCGAGGAUGAAAUUGAAGAUAUCCAACAGGAAAUUAUGGUGCUAUCUCAAUGCGACAGCCAAUAUGUAACAAAGUAUUUUGGGUCGUUUCUUAAGGGAACUAAACUAUGGAUCAUUAUGGAAUACCUUGGAGGCGGAUCCGCAUUGGAUUUAAUGAAAGCAGGGAAUUUUGAAGAAAUGCACAUUGCCAUUAUUCUAAGAGAAGUUCUAAAGGGAUUGGAUUACUUACAUAGCGAACGAAAACUUCAUAGGGAUAUCAAAGCAGCUAACGUUUUACUCAGCGAAAUGGGCGAUGUUAAAUUAGCAGAUUUUGGUGUAGCCGGGCAGCUGACGAAUACUACUAGCAAAAGGAAUACAUUUGUCGGUACACCAUUUUGGAUGGCGCCAGAAGUGAUCAAGCAAUCUGCUUACGAUUCAAAAGCCGAUAUCUGGUCGUUGGGAAUUACCGCGAUAGAAUUGGCCAAAGGCGAGCCACCUAAUUCUGAACUUCAUCCGAUGCGUGUGCUGUUUUUAAUCCCAAAAAAUAAUCCGCCUCAAUUGACUGGCAGCUACAGCAAACAGUUUAAGGAUUUUGUAGAGGCAUGUUUAAAUAAGGAUCCUGAAAAUCGGCCCACGGCCAAAGAAUUGCUUAGAUUCAAUUUCAUAAGAAAGGCAAAGAAAAAUUCCUAUCUUAUUGAUUUAAUUGACAGAUACAAGAAGUGGAAGUGUACGCGAAACGAAGAGAGCGAAACAGAAUCAGAACCUUCAGAUUCGGACGAGCCGAAAUUGGACAGCGAUAUAGAAUCGACGGACUGGGUAAUGACCGUAAAAGGGAAAAACAUAAAAAUACAGGCGGAAGAGAUCAAUAAUUCUAAUCAGAAAAACACGAAUCUAUAUCACAAUGGGUUGGCACUACCUGCCGCUAGAUCACCACCCAAAGACUCUAACUUAAACCACUGCAGAGCUGAAAAAGUUGUUCAGCAAGUCACACAGAGUUCGCAGCCCUCGACCGACAACAGAAAAGAACGAACGGAGAGGGACCAGCAUCAUAGGAGUGACAGAGACCGAGACAAAGAGCGGGAUAAAAGAAAUUCGACGGGACCGCAAACUUCAAACACGGAACCGAUUCCCUUGGAUCAUCGAGGAGAUACAUCUUCGGAAAACAAAGAUGCUAAAAAGAUGAACAGAAGGUCUACGUCGGGAAGUUCAGGACAAGGAAAGAGCGAAUCUAGAUCGCCAACGUUGACAGGCUUUAUUUAUCCUUUUAUGACAGAUUUGCAAAGGAGACAUUACUAUAAUGGACGAGCGUCUGAGAUUUCACACCGAGGCACGAGCAGCAGCGAUGCUAUCGAGGAGUUAAAAAACUCAUUCGAAAUAGCGGAGCGGACAAGUCCUGGUAUUAGCGAGAUGUUCGUAUCUGAACUGGUGCAAAAAUUAGUGCCAUCCAUAUCUGGACACAGGCUCAACAGUGUCCUGGAUAGAUUAAAGAGCUUUUUCUUUUGCAAGGUUUAACGAGGAAUGUCACACAAUCGAGGACUCUGAUGGCCUUAUAUUGAGGUUAUACAUGGAGUUUAGGUCCGUGUGUCCGUGUGUCGAAGAUAUAUGUGAUGACAUUAAGAGCAUAAUAACCAGGCCUGUUAAUACAUUAGUAAAAAGCGAUAUAAUAUCUAUUGAACCUAGGAUAUAUAAUCAUCUUUGUCAAAAUCAUAACUAAAGGGUUGAUACAAAUUUUAAUUAUAUUUAAAUCAUUAUUUGGUUCCUUUUCUGUUUAAGGACCAAAAAGAACAUUGUAUAUAAGAAACAUUUUUUUGUGGUUUACUACAUUUUUAUGCUUGUACAUAUAAUGGUUAUUGACAAAAGGUUUUUACUUUUUGUCGCCGUGAGUAUUAUUAAAGUAAUAGUGAGUAAUAUUAAAGUUUUAAA